rnacentral:rRNA from 1 species
AUGAGACCCGGAGCCGAGUUCUUCUCCGUGAGACACCGCGUGGGGGCGCCGGACGGCGGCGCCAGCGGCCCAGCGCACGGGCUGAUCAACGGGACGGUGGCACCACACUCGCCGUGCUCUCCAGCGGCGGGUGGCACCAACGGGGAGAAGGGCUCGGCGUCCGGCGCGUCCAAGUCGGCCCCAGAUUUCCAGGAGCACGUGGUGGUCAUCAUGGCCGGCGACAAGCGACCCACGUUCCUCGUCAAGCCGGUCACCAGCCGGGCGGCCCAGGCGGAGCUCGCGGCCGCAGGGGCGCCAGCGAGCGCGCCGUCAACGGGCAGGAGAAGAAACUGGACGAGCAACGCUGCAAGAGACAAGAAAGGGAAGAGAUUAUCUAUAAUUGCGACAUUGUACAAUAACCCUGAAUAUCAUGAUUCAUUGCAGAUGACAGCAAAUUCAUUCAGGGAGAGAGCUUAUGAGUAUCUCCUAGAUGGUCCCUGUCCCACCGCCUGCAUAAUGGGUGGGUCCAAUUCAUCGCCAUCAACACUAACCAGAAGAGCCGCCUCCUCCUACCGGUACGGAAGCUACUUACCUUACUAUUCAGAGACAGAAACAAAGCUCUUUUUUAGAGAGCAGGGUCAGUCCCAUCAAGAUUGUGUGGCCACAUUUUCCGCGACAAGUCAUAUAUAUGCGAAUGUUUCUUACCGGUUGACAUCUAGUCAUGGGCCAGACAAAAAAGGCAAGAGUUUGGUGAUCCUAGAGCUGCUCCAUAAAGAUUUGGUCCUGCUUUUUUGCAUUGUUUAUUCCUGCUCCCCGCAAGUUAGGGGAAAGGGCUUUUCCUCGGCCGUGGUGCUGAAAAUGUAUUUUCAUAGAAGGAGGGGUGGACUAUCGGCGAAGCUUGUGGGCGAAGGAGGGGUCGCUGUCGCUCGCGGCUGGGUUCGUCAUCUUGACAACGACCAAUUUUGGGGAAGUGCUGGUACAGAUCAGCACAGCCAUUCCUACCGGCCGCCGGGGGCACGGUUGAUGAUGAUAAUGGCAUAUAUAAACACGAUUUUCGAUCUUGCUCCGCAUCCCUGGUCGUCGUCGUCCGUUGCCUCUGCUGGACGUUCGCCAUGCUCCUCCAGCCUAUCCACCCCAUUCCUCCCUAGCUCGGAUGUCCAUCAUGAUCUGCCGUACACCAUGGAACUUUUCUUUGACUCCAACAUGCGUCGGCCAUUAGCUUCAAUUGUGCUUGUACAUGCCUUGAACAACUUUGUCCGCGCUCAUCAGUCCCCGGCCCAUAAAUACUUCGGCGAUGGCGAGGAUGAUAUGAUGGCACACUACAGAUCUUAUUCUGCCAGUCGACCUGGACGCCCUUCGGUGCGACAACAACGACACGUCGUUGUGGAUUCAUGGCCGUGUGUGCUUGAGAUGUUGUCAUCCAAGAUGAUUACAGAGCAACCGAAGACUGGUGGAAUUUGUGGGCAUAGUGCACCACAGAAUAUGCUACUAGUUAGUGAAUUACCUACGGUCAUCAUGUACAAGUUUGUCGUUUUGGAUAAGGACAGUCUGGACGAAGCGGUGGAACGAAGCGACCUCUCCGUAGAAGCUGCGGACUUUGUAUCCCAGCAUGCAUGCACAUUCAGCGUUGAACAAGGAGUAGUGCGCGCUAAUCGUGCAGCUUCAGCCUUGGCUCCGACGCUGCUGCCAAUGGCUGCACAGUCCAAACACGUUUCAAAACAGUUGUUAGUCGAGGAAACAGGAACGCCGCACGUGCCGUCAUCCAAAACGACGGCUUCUCAAGUUACUUCAACCGAUGGUCAAGGUUGUGUUUUGUAA